UGCUUUAUCUCAGUUAUCCCAGAACUGAAGCCAGAUAGGUCACUGAGAAAAUAUUGCCCAAUGUUAGACUGAAAGCAGGCACUCAAAAAGGACAGAUCUCUCACUGAACCCAUGCGUAAGGAAAGGCUUAGAGCCACAGUAGCAGGUAAUUUAUAAAAAUCCCAGAACAGAUCCUGUGGAACACCACUGGUCACCAGCCUCCAUAUGAAGGCAGAUUGGACACACAUCGGAGGUGGGGAGAGAAUAGAAGGUGACACCGAUAGAUUGUGAUGAGGGAAGAGGAAGUAAGUUCUGGCAUUUACAGUUUGACGUGAGGUAGAGAGCAUGCUGACAUACCCAUUGACAGUGUGGUAUUCGAUCUGCAGCAAGACCGAUCACAAAGCGCUCCAGCAGGUGAUUAAGUCAGCUCAGCACAUCACUGAGACUCA